UUCCUACGGGGGGCAGCAGUGAGGAAUAUUGGUCAAUGGGCGGAAGCCUGAACCAGCCAAGUCGCGUGAGGGAAUAAGGCCCUACGGGUCGUAAACCUCUUUUGCCGGGGAGCAAGGGCGGGGACGUGUCCCGGCCCGGAGAGUACCCGGAGAAAAAGCAUCGGCUAACUCCGUGCCAGCAGCCGCGGUAAUACGGAGGAUGCGAGCGUUAUCCGGAUUUAUUGGGUUUAAAGGGUGCGUAGGCUGUUUCGUAAGUCGUGUGUGAAAG
rnacentral:rRNA from 1 species